UACAGAGGGUGCAAGCGUUAAUCGGAUUUACUGGGCGUAAAGGGCGCGUAGGUGGUAAAGCAAGUAAGAUGUGAAAGCCCUGGGCUUAACCUGGGAAGUGCAUCUUAAACUGCUUAACUAGAGUAUGGUAGAGGGUAGUGGAAUUUCCGGUGUAGCGGUGAAAUGCGUAGAGAUCGGAAGGAACGCCAGUGGUGAAGACGACUACCUGGACCAAUACUGACACUGAGGCGCGAAAGCGUGGGGAUCAAACAGG
rnacentral:rRNA from 1 species